UACGUAGGGGGCAAGCGUUGUCCGGAUUUAUUGGGCGUAAAGAGCGUGUAGGCGGCCAGGUAGGUCUGCUGUGAAAACUCGAGGCUUAACCUCGAGCUGUCGGCGGAAACCAUCUGGCUAGAGUCCGGAAGAGGAGAAUGGAUUUCCCGGUGUAGCGGUGAAAUGCGCAGAUAUCGGGAAGAACACCCGUGGCGAAGGCGGUUCUCUGGGACGGUACUGACGCUGAGACGCGAAAGCGUGGGGAGCGAACAGG
rnacentral:rRNA from 1 species